AUUGAACGCUGGCGGCAGGCCUAACACAUGCAAGUCGAACGAGUGGCGGACGGGUGAGUAAUGUCUGGGAAACUGCCCGAUGGAGGGGGAUAACUACUGGAAACGGUAGCUAAUACCGCAUACCAUCGGAUGUGCCCAUAUGGGAUUAGCUAGUAGGUGGGGUAACGGCUCACCUAGGCGACGAUCCCUAGCUGGUCUGAGAGGAUGACCAGCCACACUGGAACUGAGACACGGUCCAGACUCCUACGGGAGGCAGCAGUGGGGAAUAUUGCACAAUGGGGGCAAGCCUGAUGCAGCCAUGCCGCGUGUAUGAAGAAGGCCUUCGGGUUGUAAAGUACUUUUAGCGGGGAGGCGUUAUCCGCAGAAGAAGCACCGGCUAACUCCGUGCCAGCAGCCGCGGUAAUAC
rnacentral:rRNA from 1 species